GGGAGCAGCCCAACCUUCUCUCUCUCAAAAUUUUUGCCCUCUAUCUCUCUUUGUAAAGAGAGCAGCCUCCAGCCCUUUGGCUCUCUCGUCUCCCUCGUUUGAGAAGUUACCGGCGAACUCCGGCCAGCCACCCCCGUCCUAGGCUGUCUGAUCUCGCUGCCCUACUCUCAUCUCUCUCACCUCUCUUUCCGUUGCGACGAACUCAUCGGGAAUCGGUGAACCUGCAGAUGGCGUUUCAGGUCUAACGAGAUCUGGCCGGAAACGAUGUUAAAUCCGGCGACCUCGUUUGAAAUCGACACCAUGUUUAUCUCAUUUUGAUGCUGACUUGUUUGUUAUUGUUGUUGUGCUCGAUUUUCUGGCAGCCUGUAUUCCGAUGACCGUCCGAGGAAGUAACGCCGGAAAUAAUACCGGUGAAGACUCCUCUUGCUCUGCCGUUUUCAUUUUUUCCAGAUCUGGACGGAGACUCAGAUUUUGGCCCGAAUUGUGCCGUUUCUGGUGACCAUUGAGGCUUCUCUUACAUAUCUCGAUGCUGCCUCUGUUUGGAUCCUUGUUUACGCUGUUCUUUCGUCUGCUUUAAUUACUUUGUUACUGUUGUUACUACAUUAUUUUGACGCGGUUUGGUUAUAUUUCCAUUUUUUGCGUUCUUGAUGCUUCUGUCUUUGUUGUUGCAAUUGGGUUCCGUUUGGUUUGCUGUUGUUCUAAGGGACUUGUCCGGUUGUAAUUUCCAUGAGGCCGUAAAGCUCGUCGGAAAUUGUCUCCGGACGUUGAUGGUUUGCCACUGCCUCCGUCCAAAAAUAUUUUCAAAAAAUAAUCUUUCAAAAACAUUUUCAAAUAAAAUCAUUUCCAAAAUAAAUUAGUUUAUUGUUUACUUUAUACUUUACUAAUAAUUUCACUUUUCUUGUCUUGCGAGGUACUAGAACAUGGAGUUGUUUUCGGGGGACGUCACCCAAAGACGAAAAGACAAAUCUCCUUUCAAGCUCCCCGCUUCACACUUCCUAUUCUUGGAUUAGGCGCAAUUUGGAGGAUCAGUUUAUGCACUCUAUUUUGUUCUUCUCGUCCCACCAUCUUUUGAAUGUUCCUAUGAUAGUGCCAGACUCAUGCUUAAUACCCAGGGGAUUGCCAAUUUCAUUCCAAAUGUAAAUCGCAGCAUCACUAUUCAUGAAAGCAUGUUCCAUAGUUUUCACCUGUGCGAAGUUACACCAAGAACAUCUAGAGAGUACAUGUGAUCGGUUGUACUCAUACUAUAUUCUGCACUUCUUGUGAAGAUUUUGGAGUCUGUCCCAAUGGCGGUUAGUAGCUUGCUCGAGUUGACUAUUAGUGUGGAGACUUGAGAUGGCGAGAACACGCACCGCAUCUACCGCUAGACAGGAGUCGGAGCCCCAUGUGGCAGCUACGAUUAGGGGUAGAGGUUGAGGUCGAGGUCGUGCCAGAGGCCGAGGCAGAGGCAGAGGCAGAGGCAGAGCUCAACCUAGAGCUCGAGCAGCACCACCACCAGUGGAGCCUCAUGUAUAUUUUGCUGAGCGGGUCCCAGCUCAGACUGUACCUGUUGUACCAGCUCAGGUCCCAGAGGAGUUUAUAGCCACUCUUGUACUUCAGGACACUCUAGUCCAUUUGGUGGGCCUUAUGGAGAGUGUGGCCCAGACCAGUACCUUUCCGGUGGCACCAUCCAUCUCUCGGGCUGGGGGAGGAGCAUAGAUUCCCGCUACUCACACUCCAGAGUAGGUGGCUCCCUAGUUCCAGACUCCAACAGCCCCGCCAGUUUGCGUAGUUCAGUCGGUUAUUGCGGCACAUGCCGGUAAUAGGCCCGCUUUGUCUUCUGAGGCUAUGUUGAGGUUGGAUAAGUUCACCAAACUCUUUCAUGUUCAUUUCACUAGCGCACCUUCUGAGGACUCACGGGAUUUUUUGGACCGUUGCCAUGAAGUGCUGCGUAACAUGGGUAUAGUUGAUACCAAUGGGGUCGAUGUUGCCGCAUUUCAGAUGUCUGGUUCCCCCAGAGAUGGUGGAGGGAUUAUAUGUUGACUAGACUAGCUGAGUCGCCUGCACUUAUCUGGGAUCAGUUCUCACAGCUAUUUCUAGACAAGUUCAUCCCUGUCACCCUGAGAGAGGAGUAUCGCAGGCAGUUUGAGCGACUUCAGCAGGGUGGUAUGACUGUCACCUAGUACGAGACUCGAUUUGUGGACUUAAACUAGGGAGGCAGGGGUGCUUUUGGUAGAGACCAUCUUCCCAGGCCAUUUCAUUCAACUCUUCAGGCAUCUCACAGUGCUUCAGGGAGUCGUGGUCCUUAUGUGCCUUAUUCCGGGCAGCCAGCCUAUAGUGCACCAUCAGCUCCUAUCAGUGCGCCUCUGAUUCAGAGCUAUCACCGUGGUUAUCCGACCCAUUCGGUUUAGUUUCAAUUUCAGCAGCCACACCAGCAGGAUGGGUGUUUUGAGUGUGGUGGUAUGGGGCACAUCAGGAGGUCCUGUCCGAGGUUAUUGGGCGUCAUGCCAUAAUAGAGUUCUCGUGCCAUGGUUCCGGCACCGGUUGCACCACCGCCCCCUCAGCCAGCCAGGUGCAGGGGUCAGGCAGCCAGAGGUGGGGGUUAGGCUGUUAGAGGCAGAGGCCAGCCAACUAGAGACCGUCCUAGAGAUAUAGUUCAGAGUGGUGGGCCCCAACCCCAUGUAUUGUUCCUAAUUUAAUUCGGGAUCUACUUAUUCCUACAUGUCAUCCUAUUUUGCUGCAUAUCUGGUUGUG